rnacentral:rRNA from 1 species
UACGGGAGGCAGCAGUGGGGAAUAUUGCACAAUGGGCGAAAGCCUGAUGCAGCUAUGCCGCGUGUAUGAAGAAGGCCUUAGGGUUGUAAAGUACUUUCAUCGGGGAGGAAAAACAAAACUAAUAAUUUUAUUUCUUGACGUUACCCGAAAAAGAAGCACCGGCUAACUCCGUGCCAGCAGCCGCGGUAAUACGGAGGGUGCUAGCGUUAAUCAGAAUUACUGGGCGUAAAGAGCACGUAGGUGGUUUUUUUAAGUCAGAUGUGAAAUCCCUGGGCUUAACCCAGGAACUGCAUUUUGAAACUGAAAUACUAGAGUAUCGUAGAGGGAGGUAGAAUUCUAGGUGUAGCGGUGAAAUGCGUAGAUAUCUGGAGGAAUACCUGUGGCGAAAGCGGCCUCCUAAACGAAUACUGACACUGAGGUGCGAAAGCGUGGGGAGCAAACAGGGAUUAGAUACC